UAAAAGUAAAACGACAAGAAAUAAAUUUGGACGGUAAAAUCUUUCCAUACAUUUUUCAUUGCCACUGCAUGGUUUGUUUAGAAUUUUUUGAUUAACAACAACACAUUAGAGUUAAUAGAAUGAGAUGCCAUCAAAGUCACAAGUUCACCAGCGGUUCGUAAAUGAACCAAUUGGACCAAAGUCAGUAACUGCUAUUCCACAAAUAGGACCACAAACAGCCGUGUAUUUCAAUAUAUAUAACAUAUAUCUGGCAUCACAAAUACUCGGGUAUUUUCUAUUUAUACAACGAGAUGCGGGGAACUUCAUGCAAUGGUUAUCACGUCACGGAUGUAAUAAUGGACAACAGAAAGCUAUUUAUGACGCAAUGCAAGAAUAUGUACAGCAACAUUUGUUUUAAUAUUAAAACAUUAUUAGGGUGUUUUAUAUACUGACCGACUAGAAAACGCAACACUAGAUUAUUCUUUUUAAUUCUCAUUUUCAAAUAUGCUAUUUUUGUUAAACAAAUAUAUGAAGUUCAAAAACA